UACGUAGGUGGCAAGCGUUGUCCGGAAUUAUUGGGCGUAAAGAGCUCGUAGGUGGUUUGUCGCGUUUGUUCGUGAAAACCGGGGGCUUAACCCUCGGCGUGCGGGCGAUACGGGCAGACUUGAGUACUGCAGGGGAGACUGGAAUUCCUGGUGUAGCGGUGGAAUGCGCAGAUAUCAGGAGGAACACCGGUGGCGAAGGCGGGUCUCUGGGCCGAUACUGACGCUGGAGGAGCGAAAAGCGUGGGGGAGCGAAACAGG
rnacentral:rRNA from 1 species